rnacentral:rRNA from 1 species
AUGAACGCUAGCUACAGGCUUAACACAUGCAAGUCGAGGGGCAGCAUUUUAGUUUGCUUGCAAACUGAAGAUGGCGACCGGCGCACGGGUGAGUAACACGUAUCCAACCUGCCGAUAACUCCGGAAUAGCCUUUCGAAAGAAAGAUUAAUACCGGAUAGUAUACGAAUAUCGCAUGAUAUUUUUAUUAAAGAAUUUCGGUUAUCGAUGGGGAUGCGUUCCAUUAGUUUGUUGGCGGGGUAACGGCCCACCAAGACUACGAUGGAUAGGGGUUCUGAGAGGAAGGUCCCCCACAUUGGAACUGAGACACGGUCCAAACUCCUACGGGAGGCAGCAGUGAGGAAUAUUGGUCAAUGGGCGAGAGCCUGAACCAGCCAAGUAGCGUGAAGGAUGAAGGCUCUAUGGGUCGUAAACUUCUUUUAUAUGGGAAUAAAGUUUUCCACGUGUGGAAUUUUGUAUGUACCAUAUGAAUAAGGAUCGGCUAACUCCGUGCCAGCAGCCGCGGUAAUACGGAGGAUCCGAGCGUUAUCCGGAUUUAUUGGGUUUAAAGGGAGCGUAGGUGGAUUGUUAAGUCAGUUGUGAAAGUUUGCGGCUCAACCGUAAAAUUGCAGUUGAAACUGGGAGUCUUGAGUACAGUAGAGGUGGGCGGAAUUCGUGGUGUAGCGGUGAAAUGCUUAGAUAUCACGAAGAACUCCGAUUGCGAAGGCAGCUCACUGGACUGCAACUGACACUGAUGCUCGAAAGUGUGGGUAUCAAACAGGAUUAGAUACCCUGGUAGUCCACACAGUAAACGAUGAAUACUCGCUGUUUGCGAUAUACAGUAAGCGGCCAAGCGAAAGCAUUAAGUAUUCCACCUGGGGAGUACGCCGGCAACGGUGAAACUCAAAGGAAUUGACGGGGGCCCGCACAAGCGGAGGAACAUGUGGUUUAAUUCGAUGAUACGCGAGGAACCUUACCCGGGCUUAAAUUGCAACAGAAUAUAUUGGAAACAGUAUAGCCGUAAGGCUGUUGUGAAGGUGCUGCAUGGUUGUCGUCAGCUCGUGCCGUGAGGUGUCGGCUUAAGUGCCAUAACGAGCGCAACCCUUAUCUUUAGUUACUAACAGGUCAUGCUGAGGACUCUAGAGAGACUGCCGUCGUAAGAUGUGAGGAAGGUGGGGAUGACGUCAAAUCAGCACGGCCCUUACGUCCGGGGCUACACACGUGUUACAAUGGGGGGUACAGAAGGCGGCUACCUGGUGACAGGAUGCUAAUCCCAAAAACCUCUCUCAGUUCGGAUCGAAGUCUGCAACCCGACUUCGUGAAGCUGGAUUCGCUAGUAGUCGCGCAUCAGCCAUGGCGCGGUGAAUACGUUCCCGGGCCUUGUACACACCGCCCGUCAAGCCAUGAAAGCCGGGGGUACCUGAAGUACGUAACCGCAAGGAGCGUCCUAGGGUAAAACUGGUAAUUGGGGCU